rnacentral:rRNA from 1 species
UACAGAGGGUGCGAGCGUUACUCGGAAUUACUGGGCGUAAAGCGCACGUAGGCGGCUUGGUAUGUCGGGUGUGAAAUCCCCGGGCUCAACCUGGGAACUGCAUCCGAAACUGCCUUGCUCGAGUAUGGGAGAGGGAAGUGGAAUUUCCGGUGUAGCGGUGAAAUGCGUAGAUAUCGGUAGGAACAUCAGUGGCGAAGGCGACUUCCUGGACCAAUACUGACGCUCAGGUGCGAAAGCGUGGGGAGCAAACAGG